rnacentral:misc_RNA from 1 species
AAAUUUUUGGGGAGAUAAUGAGGAUAAGUGGAAUGUUGAAGGACUGUGCUUAAAAUUCUUGCCAAGGCUGGAGGAAACAUGGGAGACAUUCCAAAAUGCAAUGCCAUCUCUCAAAUACUUGGAAGUCAGCCACUGCAAUUCGCUGAAAAACUUCAGAUGUAACGUUGAGGGUUUAGGAUAUUGGACAAAGCCAGAUGAAGAGGAGGAAAACAAGGAAGAUCAAGACGUUAUUUCGUGCCACGAAGGAGGUAAUGAAGGAGAAUUUGAUG